UAGUGGGCUUCCCGAGAUGACAACAAAGUCGAGCGUCCGACCGAUUUUAAUAGUAAACGGUUCAGUCUUGCUACGAAUUUCGAAGAGUACACAUCGCAGUUCACGUAGUAUGCAUUCUUUGGAGAACGAAAUUGUGGAGUGGGGAUAGUGGGCUUCCGGAGAUGACAACAAAGUCGAGCGUCCGACCGAUUUUAAUAGUAAACGGUUCAGUCUUGCUACGAAUUUCGAAGAGUACACAUCGCAGUUCACGUAGUAUGCAUUCUUUGGAGGUAAUAGAGAAGAAUCAAUAACGAAAUUGUGGAGUGGGGAUAGUGGGCUUCCCGAGAUGACAACAAAGUCGAGCGUCCGACCGAUUUUAAUAGUAAACGGUUCAGUCUUGCUACGAAUUUCGAAGAGUACGCAUCGCAGUUCACGUAGUACGCAUUCUUUGGAAGUAAUAGAGAAGAAUCAAUAAUGAAAUUGUGGAGUGGGAGUAUUCUCCCACUCGUGACGACAAUAUAAGCGACAGCUACUGGUUCAAUCUUGCUUCGAAUUUCGACGAGUACACAUCGCAGUUCACGUAGUAUGCAUUCUUUGGAGGUAAUAGAGAAGAAUCAAUAACGAAAUUGUGGAGUGGGGAUAGUGGGCUUCCCGAGAUGACAACAAAGUCGAGCGUCCGACCGAUUUUAAUAGUAAACGGUUCAGUCUUGCUACGAAUUUCGAAGAGUACACAUCGCAGUUCACGUAGUAUGCAUUCUUUGGAGGUAAUAGAGAAGAAUCAAUAACGAAAUUGUGGAGUGGGGAUAGUGGGCUUCCCGAGAUGACAACAAAGUCGAGCGUUCGACCGAUUUUAAUAGUAAACGGUUCAGUCUUGCUACGAAUUUCGAAGAGUACGCAUCGCAGCUCUCGUAGUAUGCAUUCUUUGGAGGUAAUAGAGAAGAAUCAAUGUAAGUACAUAAUUAUAUCACUCAUUCUUUCAAUAUUCUAUACGAUUUAUUUCG